rnacentral:siRNA from 1 species
ACCGCGCCUAGGCAUCCCGUCCU